rnacentral:lncRNA from 1 species
GUUCAACUUGAGAAUAAAUUCAGCAGUUUAAGGAUACCCAAAUUUUUAAAUCCAAAUAUUUUUAAAAGCAAUGUUAUAUUGCAGGAUUUGUCAAAUUCUCAAUAAAACGGCCAAAUUACUAACAUAUAUAUUUUCUACAGUAACAACAAUAAUCAAGUAUAAUUAUGUACCAGAGGUGUUCUGAAACUACACUCUUCUUCUUCAGCAGAGGCAG